rnacentral:rRNA from 1 species
UACGUAGGUGGCAAGCGUUGUCCGGAAUUAUUGGGCGUAAAGCGCGCGCAGGCGGUCCUUUAAGUCUGAUGUGAAAUCCCGUGGCUUAACCACGGGCGGUCAUUGGAAACUGGGGGACUUGAGUGCAGAAGAGAAGAGCGGAAUUCCACGUGUAGCGGUGAAAUGCGUAGAGAUGUGGAGGAACACCAGUGGCGAAGGCGGCUCUUUGGUCUGUAACUGACGCUGAGGCGCGAAAGCGUGGGGAGCGAGCAGG